UACGAAGGGGGCUAGCGUUGUUCGGAAUUACUGGGCGUAAAGGGUGCGUAGGUGGUUAUGUAAGUCAGAAGUGAAAGCCCUGGGCUCAACCCGGGAAUUGCUUUUGAAACUAUAUAGCUAGAGUUCGAGAGAGGUAAGUGGAAUAUCCAGUGUAGAGGUAAAAUUCGUAGAUAUUGGAUGGAACACCAGUGGCGAAGGCGGCUUACUGGCUCGAUACUGACACUGAGGCACGAAAGCGUGGGGAGCAAACAGG
rnacentral:rRNA from 1 species